GGGAUUGUGGCGACGGGUGAGUACACGUGGGCAAUCUGCCCUGCACUCUGGGACAAGCCCUGGAAACGGGGUCUAAUACCGGAUAACACUGCGGAUCGCAUGGUCUGCGGUUGAAAGCUCCGGCGGUGCAGGAUGAGCCCGCGGCCUAUCAGCUUGUUGGUGGGGUGAUGGCCUACCAAGGCGACGACGGGUAGCCGGCCUGAGAGGGCGACCGGCCACACUGGGACUGAGACACGGCCCAGACUCCUACGGGAGGCAGCAGUGGGGAAUAUUGCACAAUGGGCGAAAGCCUGAUGCAGCGACGCCGCGUGAGGGAUGACGGCCUUCGGGUUGUAAACCUCUUUCAGCAGGGAAGAAGCGAAAGUGACGGUACCUGCAGAAGAAGCGCCGGCUAACUACGUGCCAGCAGCC
rnacentral:rRNA from 1 species